rnacentral:lncRNA from 1 species
UGGUUUUAUUUUCAAAAUGUUUCAGAAGUUAUUCUACUAUAAAGGAACAUGGCUGAACAGUUAGGAGACUGACCCUCCUUUGUGGGUUCUCCUGAUAGCUUCUGCAAGGAUCAUGGAGAUGUCAGACACCUGUAUUUUGGAGCAAUGCUUCAACUCAUCCUACUGAGCACCCUGUGAUCCACUUCGUUGGCCUUCUUCCAUUCCCUUGUGAGUCAAGGCAAAAUCCACAUUCAAUCGGUCUGCAAUGGAGUCACUCUUGGCUCCACCAGCAUCAGGUCUCCUGGUUGCUGAAUUUCUUAGUCACCACCUUGCCUAGCUCCAGGCUUAGGCGGUCAGCAGUUUUCUGGGAUAAGUCCUGUUGGGAUAUCCUGCUGAAGAUUUUGAUGUUAGGCAUCUUGGGCAACUACACAAAUGCGCCCUUCGCUCAGUGGUCAUCGCUGGUGCAGAGAUUGGAUCCGAAGUAAGCUGGUAGCCUAUACACCUACAGCACCGCUGCUGCUCAGCCAUCUUACAUUCUUGGAGCACACAGCUCUAAAUCACACACUGAGCACCAAGCGAGGAGGCGGGAUCACAGAUCACAAAGCCCUUCUUCCAGUGGGUGCAGACUGAAUCUCUUCCUCUCCUGAUGUAUAUGGACUUGGAACUACUUUACUUACCUCACCUGCUUUAUAACCUGCCUUACCUGAUUCGUUGGCAUCAGUGUAGAAGGUAAGAACUCCAGAAAUGGGAGUUUGUCUUACAAUACGUGGAAGAAUCCAGACUGUCUUUUUUAUGAAUUUAAUUCUGUCAGUUUUGGGAUAGUUGUUGCUAAUUGUUCCCAAAAAGUCAGUAAGAGCUAUUUGCCAAUAUUCAUUAUCCUUCCAUAAGGAGGAAAUUUCUUCAUUAGUUAAAGGUACUAUAAUUUCUGCUGGAUCUUUUCCAGUCAGCUGAUGAAGUCUUAAUUUAC